rnacentral:rRNA from 1 species
AUUGAACGCUGGCGGCAUGCCUUACACAUGCAAGUCGAACGGCAGCGGGGGAGAAGCUUGCUUUUCCUGCCGGCGAGUGGCGAACGGGUGAGUAAUACAUCGGAACGUGCCCUGUAGUGGGGGAUAACUAGUCGAAAGAUUAGCUAAUACCGCAUACGACCUGAGGGUGAAAGUGGGGGACCGCAAGGCCUCAUGCUAUAGGAGCGGCCGAUGUCUGAUUAGCGAGUUGGUGGGGUAAAGGCCUACCAAGGCGACGAUCAGUAGCUGGUCUGAGAGGACGAUCAGCCACACUGGGACUGAGAAACGGCCCAGACUCCUACGGGAGGCAGCAGUGGGGAAUUUUGGACAAUGGGCGAAAGCGUGAUCCAGCAAUGCCGCGUGUGUGAAGAAGGCCUUCGGGUUGUAAAGCACUUUUGUCCGGAAAGAAAUGGCUCUGGUUAAUACCUGGGGUCGAUGACGGUACCGGAAGAAUAAGGACCGGCUAACUACGUGCCAGCAGCCGCGGUAA